rnacentral:rRNA from 1 species
CAGGGAAUAUUGCACAAUGGGCGAAAGCCUGAUGCAGCGACGCCGCGUGCGGGAUGAAGGCCUUCGGGUUGUAAACCGCUUUCAGGAGGGACGAAAAUGACGGUACCUCCAGAAGAAGCCCCGGCCAACUACGUGCCAGCAGCCGCGGUAAUACGUAGGGGGCGAGCGUUGUCCGGAUUUAUUGGGCGUAAAGGGCUCGUAGGCGGUUCAGCAAGUCAACUGUGAAAACCCGGGGCUCAACCCCGGGACGCCAGUCGAAACUGCUGUGACUAGGGUCCGGUAGAGCUGAGUGGAAUUCUCGGUGUAGCGGUGAAAUGCGCAGAUAUCGAGAGGAACACCAGUAGCGAAGGCGGCUCACUGGGCCGGUACCGACGCUGAGGAGCGAAAGCGUGGGGAGCGA